UGGAACAAAACACAAAAGACAACUUAUUAGCAAGAGACAAAUUGCUCAGCAAGUUUCAAUGAGCUGCUAUGUUUGUCAUGAAAAAAACCCUUUUAUUUGCACAGAUCAAUGCUUUUAUAAUCCAUUUAAAAUAAUAUACUUGCCACUAGGUGGCUAUUUCUGAUCAGAUCAUUUUACCAUUUUAAUUACAUUUUUAAUAUCCUGGCUGCAUAAACAAAGAUAAAUUACAAGCCUUGCACAAUCUGGCUGCUAGCUCGGGCACAAUCUGUAAUAAUAUCAGCUUUUGUUUGUGCCUCCUCUAAUUAGAUUCUGAAAUCUAGGCUUUAUCAAUCAAUAAUUUUAAUUUCAGAAUUGCCUUUUGAUCUUACAUUUCAUGUUUGUUUGCAGAAAAUGAUCAGUAGGACAAAGCUGAUAAUUUAUGCAGAAACAAUCUCUCAGCAGAGUUACAAGCACAUUCCUAGCCAUCAACACAACCCGGCAGACUAAGCUUGACACAGGUCUAAUUAGCAUGCAGAUAUGUGUCGCCUCAUUGGCAAUUCAAAUUGCUUUUUUAUAAUGUACCUCAAAUUGUGCUACUCAAACAUUGUAUUUGAUUUCCAAAGCCCCCUGGGCAUCCCAUAAUGUCUCCCUUCAUCCUGGGUACGAAGCAUUUAUUGAACAAUCUGCUUCGACUCUGGCUAUCUUUUCGAAAACACCCAAAUGUCGUAACCGUGGGACCAGCUUUUCCUCCUCGUCAGACAGCAACUUGUUCUUCUGCGGAGCGGCGGGUGCCACGUCCAUAGGUUUAGCGAUGAUAUGUUACCUUGCGAGCUCCUGCUCCCACGGUGGCUGCUCUAUAGAGGGCUUCGUUCCUGUGCCACUCAUUUAAAAAGGGGGAGGAUGUCUACAGAGCGCACAUUAAUAUGCGGCACAUAACCACGUCUCUGAAUGCCAGCCUUCCAUUCUUCAUUAAACAAAAUGGCUGGAUUGCAGUGAUUGUUUUCCCCUCCACACGCGCGCGCGCGCACAGGCACACACACCACGCACGCAGGCACAUACCCACACACCCCCCACACGUACUCCGGCUUUCUCUCCUUUUUCUCCCUCACACAUACGCACGCACUUUCCCCCGCGCACACAAACACAAACACUCACACACACACACACACACACCCCCCGCAUCCCCUGCCGUAGCGUGUCGUUGUCAGCGCGGUGAGUUACGUGCGAAAAGUUGUCUGCGGCAUGCGUGACACGCGAGGAGAUUCCUGCCAACGUCAGGGCCCUUUUUUGCCAUGCAGCAACAAGUGGCAGAAUCAAUGGUGUACAGUUAUUCAGCAAUGUAAUUCAUUUCACUGGCUUUGGCUCCUAGCCAGAUCCGCCAUCUGUCUCUUGCUCUCCCUCUCUCUCUCUCGCCUGAAUUUGUCCUACAUUUCGUAAUGUUACGUGCUUGCCAUCCUUAUUCUAUGUCAGAGGUACAGCACGAGCCUCACCCCCGUUCCGGCGUGGAGUUCUCUGAGUUCGGUGGCACUUUGGAUAUUCCACUUCUGUGCCAUGGGAAGAAAAGGAGUAUCUUCGUUUUCUUUAUUGGAUGCUGGCACUGUACGCCACUGCACAGCUCCGUGGAAUGCCUGCUGUUGGAUACUUGCAGAUCCCUGCCACCAAGCAACCUCCUGCAUUGGAAAUCGGGUGACUACUCCAGGAUCUUAUGCGUGCUUGCUGUUUGAAGCUGCAGAAAAGUGAAUAAUCAAUUAAGUAUUGAUUUCUUGUAAGAUUUGGUAAAUUUCAAAGGCAAGACAAAGAGGAUGGCUUAAGGAAAGCACUGCAGGGACUUGGCGUAAAUUAGACAACUAACAGCAGUGCAGAAUAAAAUAACACCUCAACUGAAUAUUUCCUUGGAAGAAUUAGCACUAGCUAUUGGAAGACGAUGGUGGAUUUAAUCAAGACGGCAGGCACGCUUGAGUUUUAACCGUGAACCUGAAAGAGGAGCUAAUUAUAACCACCUUUUUAUAUGGAGCUAAUUUGACUGAAUGGAUGCAAAUGUGCUUUAUUUAUGGAUGAAGAAGCAAGCCUUACAGCAUUGACUUUGGGAUCAUCGCAAAUGCUAAGCUUUACAGCUUCUCUAAAAGUCAAGCCUACAGUACAUUUUUAUUUACUGAGAAGGUAUUUAUAUGUAAGCAUAAGCUAGCCGUACAAAAGAUUCAUCAGAACAAUGUACUGUGGCACUGAGGAUCUAAUUAUAAUUUUGCAACAUUUCAUGUUUUUUCUAAUUUGGUGCUUUUCAACCUUUGCUUGUGAUGGGCUAUAAAUGGGACAAUAAAUGUAUGAUUUAAACUAU